rnacentral:rRNA from 1 species
GACGAACGCUGGCGGCGUGCUUAACACAUGCAAGUCGAACGGAGUGGCGAACGGGUGAGUAACACGUGGGUGAUCUGCCUUGCCCUUAGGAAUAUGCUUGGGCAACUGGGUCUAAUACCGGCUAGUUCUAGAUGAGCUCGGGGCCUAUCAGCUUGUUGGUGGGGUAAUGGCCUACCAAGGCGUCGACGGGUAUCCGGCCUGAGAGGGUGUACGGCGAAAGUGGGACUUAGAUACGGCCCAGAAUCCUACGGGGGGCAGCAGUGGGGGAUAUUGCACAAUGGGCGGAAGCCUGAUGCAGCGACGCCGCGUUGGGGAUGAAGGCCUUCGGGUUGUAAACUCCUUUCGACAGGGACGCGGUACCUGUAUAAGAAGCACCGGCUAACUACGUGCCAGCAGCCGCGGUAAUUC